AAUGAACGUUGGCGGCGUGGAUUAGGCAUGCAAGUCGAGCGAGAAGGGGUCUCUCAUUUUUGGCUGAAAGCUGAUCGCUGAAGCUGACAGCCUAAAAUGAGGGACCCCCCAAAGCGGCGAAAGGGAGAGUAACGCGUAGUUACGUGCCCCAGGGUUCGGAAUAGCCACGGGAAACUGUGGGUAAUGCCGAAUAACAUCUCCGGAUCAAAGGUGUGAUUCCGCCCUGGGAGCGGACUGCGUCCUACUAGCUAGUUGGCGGGGUAAUGGCCCACCAAGGCAACGAUGGGUAGCGGGUGUGAGAGCAUGACCCGUCUCACUGGGACUGAGACACUGCCCAGACACCUACGGGUGGCUGCAGUCGAGAAUCUUCGGCAAUGGGCGAAAGCCUGACCGAGCGACGCCGCGUGUGGGAUGAAGGCCCUCGGGUUGUAAACCACUGUCGUAGGGGAGGAAGGCUCCGUGAAGAGCGGGGUUUGACCUAUCCUAGGAGGAAGUACGGGCUAAGUUCGUGCCAGCAGCCGCC
rnacentral:rRNA from 1 species